GAGAGCGCCCAUACAAUUUUCUGGAGCAUUUUUUCAUCAGUUGAUGCUUCACAAAAUAAAAUCUGACAAGCCGGACGAGGUGCAUUUCUAUGUGGGAAGGAAGAGAUGUAGAUUUGGGAGGUUGGAGUUCGGCUUGGUCAUCGGGUUAAACUUGUUGCCCGGCCCUACUGAGGAAGACAUCAAACAAAAUGGAAGCUCUGACCGGUUGAUUCAGGAAUAUUUCAACGGUAGUGCUUUGAUCAGCUUCGGCCAACUGCGCAGAGUUUUUGAGAGCUGCACAGAAGCUGAUGAAGUCUACAAGUUGGGGAUGGCCUUGUUUGUUAUGGGCGUCCUCACUGGUAAGGAGGAGAAGACUGUCGUUCCUCCUUUUGUGAUAAGAAUGGUUGAUAACCUUCCAUUCUUCUACGAGUACCCCUGGGGAAAUAUUUCUUACACCAAGCUGAUGGAAACUUGUAACAAGGAUUACUUGGAUGUGAAGAAUAAGAUGUUGAAAAAGAUUGAGAAGGGAGUCACUCAGAAGGAGGCAAAAUACUCAGCCUACGGCUAUGCUGCAGCGUUGCAGUAUUGGGCAUACGAGGCCAUAUUACAGCUGGGCAACGAGUAUGCAGUGAGGAGGUCACAUCGCUUUCCGAGAAUGGUCAACUGGGAGAGUAAGCCGAACACUACACUCGGGAAGGAUGAAGUGACCAGAUUAUUUGCUAAAAAUUUGACAGUGUACUCCAUGUUAUGUCCUCGGCCGAACGAGAUUGAGUUUGUGAGUUACAUAACCGGGGGUCAGCCUCCGUUAUUUGUUGACUUGGAGGAACUUGUGUUGGGUGAGGAUGGGCAACCAACACGGGAUGCUUUGCGAAGCCAGGCCAAAAAGCUUGCCUCCACAUUGGAAGAACGAGCGGAGGCAGCUCGAAUAUUUAAAGACUCUACACCACCUCCACCGUCUCCUCCACGUGCACCGCCUGCAGUUCUAGAUGGGUCUGGUGUUGACCCAUCUCCAGCUUCAGUUCCCGAUGGGUAUUGUGUUGACCCAUCUGCAGCUUCAGUUCCAGAUCAGUGUGGUGUUGACCCACUUGCAGCAUCACAGGGUCCUCCUGUUCCCCCGUCAGCUUCUAUUCCCAGCACCUCGGAGGCUCGCGAUCCAGUAUACCCUGCCAUUUUGGCAAGGUUGGCGACUGUGGAGAGGGGGCAGGCCGCUCUGCUAAGAGGACAAACAACGAUUAUGGAUCAGUUGAAGACCAUAAUGACGCUCCUGCAAGAUCCUAGAAGGCCGGCAGCAGAUUCACAGCCACAGCCACAACCACAGCCACACCCACAACCGAAAGAGGAGGCUCGGACACCGGAAGAUGACUUCAUUCUCCCAAAUGAUUACCAACCGGAUGAUGAUGACAUGUUCUGUACACCUGAGAAGACGAAUAUCACCAGCAUCGGGGAUACUCAGGAUUCUGAGGUGCAGGUGUUAGAGACAGCUCCAGAAAGGAAGAGAAGGCGGCCUAGGUGGUUCGCUGAGUACACUGAAAUGAAGAAGAAGGCUAGGGCUACUUCGACACUCGUGAAUGCGGACCCACUUAGAGUGGUUGAUCGGAAGCUGCUCAAGACUUUUCACAAUUGGGUACUCGGCCAGAUUGGGAACAAUUACCCGAGAGAGUGCUUCACCGGUUGAUACCAUUCGUCUUGGUUCCUCGAACUGCAUACUCCGAAGUUUUGGCUUGGGAACGAUCAUUUAGAUGCGGCAUUCCAUUUGAUGAGGAGGCGGCAAUACUUUUAUCCCGAGGCCUACCCAAAUAGAUGUGUCAUAAUGCCAUGUAUUUUCCCAGCAGGAGUUAUUGCUCGGUGGGAAGCUGCGGGUGAUGAACAGGCUAACUAUCAGUGGGACGAGAGCAUAUUAGAUUUGAUUUGAGGGGAUGAAAGUCAAUUCUUGGCCAGUUGGAAGAAGAAGGAGAGAAUAUAUAUGGCCCUCCACUUCGAUGGAGCAAAGCAUUGGGUGGCACUAGAGGUAGAUCUGGAUCAUUGGUUGUUGAACAUAUUUGACUCGAGCCUCGGAUCGAUUUCCCCGAACGAAUUGAAGCGUCACCUGACAAUGUGGGAAAAAUUACUACCAAAUUUGCUGCUGCAGGCUGGCCUAUUCGAGUCUCAUGACAUGAUCCUCGUGCCUCAACUUACCGCCUCAGAGAGCCAGGUCAGAAAUUUCACUUCAAAAGUCAUGGAUCGGCCGUUGUUCCACAGACAAAGACAAGGUAACUUAAUUACAAUUGAUUUUUCUGUUAUUUAACUUGAAUUUAAUUUGCAUACUUUUAUUUAUUUACUUUUUAUUGUCUCAUACAUCGGUAACUGCGGGAUGUACGUGAUAGAGCACAUCGAGCAUAGUAUGCUGGAGACUACGUUUGAUAAUGUGCACGAUGAGAAUAUGAAGAAAUUUAGAGAGCGGUGGUGUGUAGAU